CCCUCAACAAUACAAUACAAUCCAAUACACCUUACUGGCUGUUCUACCAGUCAUACUGAUCACCUCUGGAGUGGCUUGGUACAUAUACAAGAGAAACAAAGGAAAGAAAAACACAGGAGAGAAAAGUCGUGGGAGCAAAACAGAAGGAGAGAAAAAGGAUGAUCCCUCUGUAAUGUAUGAUACGGUUCAAGAACCCAGAAACAACAACCAAGAGGAGACAACAACACCCCUCAGUGCUCCAGAGGAUCCCUCAGUGACAUACUCCACCAUCGUCUACAUGAAAGGAAAAAGGAACGCAGCAGUGAGUCUGGAGAGCGGUGGAAAAACAGAGUAUGCCACUAUCAAGACAGGCACGUUCUCC